UAGUUUUGUCCCAAGUCAAACUUCUCCAACCAGGUUUAUACAGAAAUAUAUUAACAUCUACAAUACCAAAUAAAUGCACUAUCAAGACAUAUUUUAUGGUGGAUUUAGUGGCACUAAUUUGAUGUUGAAGAUGUUGGUGCAUUUUUCCACAAAAUUGGUCAAAGUUAGAGAAGUUUGGCUUAGGAAAAAACCAG
rnacentral:pre_miRNA from 1 species